rnacentral:rRNA from 1 species
GGUGAGUAAUGCCUAGGAAUCUGCCUGAUAGUGGGGGACAACGUUUCGAAAGGAACGCUAAUCCCGCAUACGUCCUACGGGAGAAAGCAGGGGACCUUCGGGCCUUGCGCUAUCAGAUGAGCCUAGGUCGGAUUAGCUAGUUGGUGAGGUAAUGGCUCACCAAGGCGACGAUCCGUAACUGGUCUGAGAGGAUGAUCAGUCACACUGGAACUGAGACACGGUCCAGACUCCUACCGGAGGCAGCAGUGGGGAAUAUUGGACAAUGGGCGAAAGCCUGAUCCAGCCAUGCCGCGUGUGUGAAGAAGGUCUUCGGAUUGUAAAGCACUUUAAGUUGGGAGGAAGGGCAUUAACCUAAUACGUUAGUGUUUUGACGUUCCCGACAGAAUAAGCACCGGCUAACUUCGUGCCAGCAG